rnacentral:lncRNA from 1 species
AUCCUUCCUUACCUGCAAGGCACUCGCCUGGAUUGUUCUUACUACAUUUCGGGCAAGUUGGGUAAGUUUUGGUGCCUGAAAUUCUACCUUGAGACUUAGUGCCUGACGCCCUACCUUUCUGAUCAUUACGGAACCUGGGAGAUGGAACACUAGCUGAUGAAAGGGAUGGAGUCGAAGACUUCUGCUGAAUAUGCGAGCGAUUUCCACCACCCGAUUUCUGUUGGGAAUACUCGUAGUUACAUGUUCAUGCUUUCUUAGUAUCCUUAGCCUGUUCCCUAAGCUUAUCACCCUCAACCUGCUGAGCAUGAGUCAUAAGCCUAGAGAUGUUCAUGUCUCCCAACAACAUAGCAUUCCUGCACUUUGUUUUCACUAAG